rnacentral:rRNA from 1 species
AUACGGAGGGUGCAAGCGUUGUUCGGAAUCACUGGGCAUAAAGGGCGCGCAGGCGGUUUUACAAGUCAGAUGUGAAAGCCCACGGCUCAACCGUGGAAGUGCAUUUGAAACUGUAAGACUUGAGUAUCAGAGGGGAAGGUGGAAUUCCCGGUGUAGAGGUGAAAGUCGUAGAUAUCGGGAGGAAUACCGGUGGCGAAGGCGACUUUCUGGCUGAAUACUGACGCUGAGGCGCGAAAGCGUGGGGAGCAAACAGGAUUAGAAACCCCAGUAGUCC